AGACACAGCUCUCCCGGAAUCAGGCACAUCAGUGCUGGACAGCUGCAUAAUGUUGGUCUAGCAAGUCCAGGUCAGCUGAUACCACUGGCAGAGCUGCUCCAACACUGGCACCUGGCUGACUGCAUUCUCUCAGCGGACGCUCAGAGCACAGGAAUCCAGCAUGGCAUGGCAUGUUCGCCGUAGCUGUGAGAGCGAACAAAGGUCAAAGCUGUAGUGGCCAGAAUUCCCGGAUGGCACCAUGAUACUGUCCCUCAGUGCCCACACACGGCCCAGCCAUCUCAUCUCCCCAGGAACUAUCAGUAUGUGCUAGCCAUGAAGGCAUCUUACACUAUGCACAUCUUGUAAAGGUGCACUGGCCCCAAAUCUAUUUUUCCUGCCACUCAACUUUGUCAUAGGGAAGUGACCAGCAGCUGUGGUACAGAGCUAUGUGAUGCCAAGGAGCAAGCAAACUGCAACCAGCAAAGUUCAGCGUGCAGCAUCUCACCAGCUGAAGCAAGAGACACGUCUUGAGCCACUUGAUGACAA